UUUUCUCUCUCUCCCCCCGGGAAAUACUCUAUCAAUAAGCGGAGGAAAAGAAACCAACAGGGAUUGCCCUAGUAACGGCGAGUGAAGCGGCAACAGCUCAAAUUUGAAAUCUGGCCCUAGGCCCGAGUUGUAAUUUGCAGAGGAUGCUUUUGGUGAAGCGCUUACCGAGUCCCCUGGAACGGGGCGCCACAGAGGGUGAGAGCCCCGUAUGGUUUGACGCCGAGCCUCUGUAAAGCUCCUUCGACGAGUCGAGUAGUUUGGGAAUGCUGCUCUAAACGGGAGGUAAAUUUCUUCUAAAGCUAAAUACCGGCCAGAGACCGAUAGCGCACAAGUAGAGUGAUCGAAAGAUGAAAAGCACUUUGAAAAGAGGGUUAAAUAGCACGUGAAAUUGUUGAAAGGGAAGCGCUCGUGACCAGACUUGCGCCGGGCGGAUCAUCCAGCGUUCUCGCUGGUGCACUCCGCCCGGCUCAGGCCAGCAUCGAUUUUCGCCGGGGGACAAAAGCUUCGGGAACGUGGCUCUCUUCGGGGAGUGUUAUAGCCCGUUGCGUAAUACCCCGGCGGGGAUCGAGGACCGCGCUUCGGCAAGGAUGCUGGCGUAAUGGUCAUCAGCGACCCGUCUUGAAACACGGACCGAGGAGUCAAGCAUUAGUGCGAGUGUUUGGGUGUAAAACCCGCACGCGUAAUGAAAGUGAACGUAGGUGAGAGCUUCGGCGCAUCAUCGACCGAUCCUGAUGUUUUCGGAUGGAUUUGAGUAGGAGCAUUAACGCUUGGACCCGAAAGAUGGUGAACUAUACUUGAAUAGGGUGAAGCCAGAGGAAACUCUGGUGGAGCUCGCAGCGGUUCUGACGUGCAAAUCGAUCGUCAAUUUGAGUAUAGGGCGAAAGACUAAUCGAACAUCUAGUAGCUGGUACGCUUUUCUCCUCCUCUCGAGCAGAGAGAGAAA
rnacentral:rRNA from 1 species